AGAGCAAACUAUUCUAUCGCUCUAUUAGAAAUAAUUAGAGAGGAAAGUCCGGGCAACAAAGAGCACCGCACCUUAGAGAAACUAAGGGCAUGCUUUCGAAAUAAAGCAUGACAGAAAGUGCAACAGAAAGUAGACCGUCUCGUUUCGGCGAGUUAAGGGUGAAACGGUGAGGUAAGAGCUCACCAGUAUUAUCAGUAAUGGUGAUAGCUAGGUAAACCUUGCGGGUUGAAAAGUCAAAUAAACCGGGGCUUGAGGGUUGCUCGCCUGAUCCCGGAGGGUAGACCGAUUAGAUAAAUGAUAGAAGUCCAUUUAGGUGGAAACAGAACCCGGCUUAUAGGUUUGUUUUAUUA
rnacentral:RNase_P_RNA from 1 species